rnacentral:rRNA from 1 species
AUUGAACGCUGGCGGCAGGCCUAACACAUGCAAGUCGAACGCAGUGGGGACGGGUGAGUAACACGUGGGUAACCUCCCAUCAGAGGGGAUAACACUUGGCAACAGGUGCUAAACCGAUACUGAUGGAUGGACCCGUGGUGCAUUAGCUAGUUGGGGAGGUAACGGCUCACCAAGGCCACGAUGCUUAGCCGACCUGAGAGGGGGAUCGGCCACACUGGGACUGAGACCUGGCCCAGACUCCUACGGGAGGCAGCAGUAGGGAAUCUUCGACAAUGGACGAAAGUCUGACCGAGCAACGCCGCGUGAGUGAAGAAGGUUUUCGGAUCGUAAAGCACUGUUGUUAGGGAGGCGGUAUCUAACCAGAAAGCCACGGCUAACUACGUGCCAGCAGCCGCGGUAAUAC